AAUCAUUGUCACCUGACCCAUUGGUGCCCCCUGGCACCAGCUGUGUUUAAAUGCAGUGCAAUAGGAACUCCCUGCUUCUACAAGGACUUGGCCUGCUAUGGGCUGCUCCUCCCCACAGCUGGGCCUUU
ensembl:snoRNA